AGAGUGAGUCAUUUCGUUUAUUUGUUUUUACUAUCGCAUAACCUUGUCCCAGGGCACGAGCGAUUGCACCCCUUCAACGUUAGGGUUAGGGUUUAGUUGUUUCGGUGGAAAAUUAGGGUUUUUCUCGCAGUAAUGGGGAGGUAUAGAAGCCGUAGCAGAAGCUGCAGCCCUCGCCGGCGAAGCAGAACCCCACCUCGCGGACGCAAGCGUCACGACGACGAUCGCUAUGGUGACAGCAGGUCAUACAGAGACCGCCGCUCACCUCUUCCUUCUGGCUUACUCGUUCGCAAUCUCCCCCUCGAUGCUAGGCCUGAGGAUCUUAGGAUCCCAUUCGAGCGCUUUGGCCCUGUGAAGGAUGUUUAUCUUCCUAAGAAUUACUACACUGGGUAACUCUGCUUUAGUAUCAAUGCAAUCUGCUUCUGAUAGGAUUGUUACUCACUUGUAUCAUCCAUUGCUUUUUUAAACUCUGCAUUUUUGCUUUCUUAACGUUGAAGUUUGAUUUAAUUGAUUUUGUAGUGAGCCCCGGGGCUUUGGAUUUGUGAAAUAUCGAUAUGGUGAAGAUGCGGCGGAGGCAAAGCAACAUCUUAAUCACACUAUCAUUGGCGGACGCGAAAUAAGAAUUGUGUUUGCUGAGGAAAAUAGGAAAACUCCUCAAGAAAUGCGUCUUAAUGCUCGAGGAAGUAGUCGAUAUGGAGGUGGAAGAAGGAGGGCUCGUUCAAGAUCCCCACGGCGCCGUUAUCGUUCCUAUUCUCGGUCUCCUUCACCAGCAAGGGAUGAUUCAAGAUAAUAAAGUGAAAUGGAAGACUUUAAAGAUGGAUUAAUAAAGAUUAAAGUGUAAAGAGGCUUAAAGUGAUGCGCUACUUGCUUAUGUAUCUAUCAGACUCCAUAAGAAAUAUCCAAAUCAAAUUUGCCUUAUUCGGCCAGUUGCAUGGGCUUUCCCUUCUUUGUCGUAUUUGGUUUGUGGCUGAAGAAUGGUUCAAAAUUCAAAUAAGUACUUCUUUUGAUUCCCUUGUAUAAAUUUUAUGUGAGGAAGAUUUUAUUUAGUUUAAUAUCUUGUUUUGCGUAUACUAUCCAGUUAAGAAAGAAUAUAAAGCUUAUAGUUGGCCAAAGAAAAUCAUCCUCAAAGAAUGGAAGCCAAAGUUUAUACGGUAGAGAUAUGAUGACAUUGUGCAAGAAAGAUAGUUGUGAUAUUAGAAAGUUGGGACAAAGAGAGCUAUGAAGUUACCAGAUGCUGAUCUUGCAGUACAUCAUUCAUAACUGUCAGUGUUUGGAUCCAAGUGUCAUAUAUUUUUCCAGAAACUAUGGAAAGGUACAGGUACAGGUCAUAUUUUGGCUAAUUAGAUUUUGAAGAGGAAGUAAGUAUUAGUUCUCUCAUGAAACAAAAUAAUAAAAUUUUGGUUUGAGUGUUUGUGUGCUUAAUUAUCUGUGUAUUUUGUUGUAGUUGCAUAUAUUCAGAUCUCUAUUGAUUCAUGAGAUGUUUAUGGUUGGUAUUACCUUUUCUAUAAUAUAUGUAACUGUGUUGUUUAGUCAUUUUUGUUUACUUUACUUUAUAACUAAGGUUUCUCACUUAUGUUGACAUAGGGAUGGUAGGGGUAGGGAUGAUUAUUAUUCUCCUGAGCGAUCAAGAUCUUAUUCUAGGUCUCUCUCUCCUAGCGCUGAGAAGGACUACAGGAGGUCCCCUCAUCUCAGGCAGAAUGGUCGAAGUCCUACUGGUAAGAAGGAUCCAAUCCCUAGCAGAUCAGAGAGUCCUAGGGGUAAUGAGCGUAGUCCUUCGAGGUCUUGUUCGCUGUCAUACAGUCCACGCUGAUUUGCCUUCAAGCAGAGAUUUCAUGGUGUCAAUUCGGCCUUUCUGUUGGCACACUGUAGUUCAAACUUUGACAUUUUGAAGAUAUAAAUUUAGUUAAGUAUAGUCUGUGAUGUUAAUAGUGGUAGUCUGCAGGCGACAUUCCCAUUAGAAGGUAGUUUGACUUGUGUGUCAUUCUGGUUGACUCUGCAUUUAGGCUUUUUCAUCACUUUACUGUUCCUUCGGGUGCUUGUUCAUGAAUCGUUAAGUUUGAAACUUGUUUUAUUCAGUUAUCUAUUUUCCGCAGUUAGCCCAAAUCAUUGAUGUUUUCAGAACUGCUACUCCUAUGUUACACGCAAUAUUACUCAGAAUUAUUACUGAAAAAAUAUAUAUAAAAGAUUGAUAGU